AUUCGCCCUUAGAGUUUGAUCCUGGCUCAGAUUGAACGCUGGCGGCAUGCCUUACACAUGCAAGUCGAACGGCAGCAUGAUCUAGCUUGCUAGAUUGAUGGCGAGUGGCGAACGGGUGAGUAAUACAUCGGAACGUGCCCUGUAGUGGGGGAUAACUAGUCGAAAGAUUAGCUAAUACCGCAUACGACCUGAGGGUGAAAGUGGGGGACCGCAAGGCCUCAUGCUAUAGGAGCGGCCGAUGUCUGAUUAGCUAGUUGGUGAGGUAAAGGCUCACCAAGGCGACGAUCAGUAGCUGGUCUGAGAGGACGAUCAGCCACACUGGGACUGAGACACGGCCCAGACUCCUACGGGAGGCAGCAGUGGGGAAUUUUGGACAAUGGGCGAAAGCCUGAUCCAGCAAUGCCGCGUGUGUGAAGAAGGCCUUCGGGUUAUAAAGCACUUUUGUCCGGAAAGAAAUGGCUCUGGUUAAUACCUGGGGUCGAUGACGGUACCGGAAGAAUAAGGACCGGCUAACUACGUGCCAGCAGCCGCGGUAAUACGUAGGGUCCAAGCGUUAAUCGGAAUUACUGGGCGUAAAGCGUGCGCAGGCGGUUGUGCAAGACCGAUGUGAAAUCCCCGAGCUUAACUUGGGAAUUGCAUUGGUGACUGCACGGCUAGAGUGUGUCAGAGGGGGGUAGAAUUCCACGUGUAGCAGUGAAAUGCGUAGAGAUGUGGAGGAAUACCGAUGGCGAAGGCAGCCCCCUGGGAUAACACUGACGCUCAUGCACGAAAGCGUGGGGAGCAAACAGGAUUAGAUACCCUGGUAGUCCACGCCCUAAACGAUGUCAACUAGUUGUUGGGGAUUCAUUUCCUUAGUAACGUAGCUACGCGUGAAGUUGACCGCCUGGGGAGUACGGUCGCAAGAUUAAAACUUAAAGGAAUUGA
rnacentral:rRNA from 1 species